AUUUGGAAAUUGGAGAUAAAGUACACAUGAAACGAACUGUAACCCGGAAACAAGUUGAGUUGUACUUUUAACAGCGAAGUACUCACGGUUACAGCAAAACACGGCCCAAGAACAACGGUUCAAAAUGAUGAAACGGGAAAGGUGUACGAGAGGAAUUCAAGUCAUCUUAAAAAGAUAAGAAGUGAAAAUGAUAACCAAAAUGAUCUUGAUGUAGCCGAUGAAGGACAGGAGUUCGAUGGACUUCAUGAGGAGCACCAAGAAGAUCCUUUAAUCAGUAAUGAUCGUCCCGAGCAAACGUCAACAAAGCAGGACGAAUCAGCUUCGAGGCAAGGUCGAGUUCCUCGUGUGACCAGAGUUCCGAACCGAUUUACUGAUUACAUUAUUGACUGUUAACUAUUUUCAUUUAUAUAAUAAGGGAGAUGUGGAGAUACGUCUGACUCGAUUAUCUAUGGUAUGACAACUUGAAUUAACAGAUGUGCCAUUGUCCAUAGAGAAUAAUAAACAUUCUGAUUUCUGCUGAG